UCUGAUGUUAGCUUUCCUUGCUGUCUCUGA
rnacentral:piRNA from 1 species